rnacentral:rRNA from 1 species
UACGUAGGAUGCAAGCGUUGUCCGGAAUUAUUGGGCGUAAAGAGUUCGUAGGCGGUUGCCUAAGUCUGGUGUUAAAUACAGGAGCUCAACUCCUGCAUGGCAUUGGAAACUGGGCGGCUAGAGUGUGGUAGAGGUCACGGGAAUUCCAGGUGUAGCGGUGAAAUGCGUAGAUAUCUGGAGGAACACCAGUGGCGAAAGCGCGUGACUGGACCAUAACUGACGCUGAGGAACGAAAAGCCAGGGUAGCGAAAGGG